rnacentral:rRNA from 1 species
GACGUAGGGCGCGAGCGUUGUCCGGAUUUAUUGGGCGUAAAGAGCUCGUAGGCGGUUCGAUAAGUCGGACGUGAAAUCUCCACGCUCAACGUGGAGGGGCCGUUCGAUACUGUCGUGACUCGAGUCCGGUAGGGGAGUGUGGAAUUCCCGGUGUAGCGGUGAAAUGCGCAGAGAUCGGGAGGAACACCCGUAGCGAAGGCGGCACUCUGGGCCGGUACUGGACGCUGAGGAGCGAAAGCGUGGGGAGCAAACAGGGAUUAAGAAACC